rnacentral:rRNA from 1 species
AACGAACGCUGGCGGCAUGCCUAACACAUGCAAGUCGAACGAGACCUUCGGGUUUAGUGGCGCACGGGUGCGUAACGCGUGGGAACCUGCCCUUAGGUUCGGAAUAACUCCCCGAAAGGGGUGCUAAUACCGGAUAAUGUCUUCGGACCAAAGAUUUAUCGCUUUUGGAUGGGCCCGCGUUGGAUUAGCUAGUUGGUAGGGUAAAAGCCUACCAAGGCGACGAUCCAUAGCUGGUCUGAGAGGAUGAUCAGCCACACUGGGACUGAGACACGGCCCAGACUCCUACGGGAGGCAGCAGUGGGGAAUAUUGGACAAUGGGCGAAAGCCUGAUCCAGCAAUGCCGCGUGAGUGAUGAAGGCCUUAGGGUUGUAAAGCUCUUUUACCCGGGAUGAUAAUGACGGUACCGGGAGAAUAAGCUCCGGCUAACUCCGUG